rnacentral:rRNA from 1 species
AUCGAUGAAGAACGCAGCGAAAUGCGAUAAGUAAUGUGAAUUGCAGACUUCAGUGAAUCAUCGAAUCUUUGAACGCACAUUGCGCCCUCCGGUUCUCCGGGGGGCAUACCUGUUCGAGCGCCGUUGUACUACUAAGGCUCAGCCUUGCGGUGGCCUCUUCCCCUCUCUCUUGUCUCCCUUUUUUUUUUUUCGAAGGGGGGAGAGGAGAGGAGAGGGGAGGGUCGAAACCCAUGGGCGCGUCCUCGCAGGUCGUCCAGCGUAGCAAGUCUCUCGCUGGAAGGUUUGGAGGGGAGGCGCCAGUAUCAACGAACACUUGGCCUCGAAUCAGGUAGGGAUACCCGCUGAACUUAAGCAUAUCAAUAAGCGGAGGAAAAGAAACCAACGGGGAUUGCCUCAGUAACGGCGAGUGAAGCGGCAUCAGCUCAGAUUUGAAAUCUGGCCCGCAAGGGUCCGAGUUGUAAUCUGCAGAGGAACGUUCGGUCUCGGCGCCGGUCCAAGUCUCUUGGAACGGAGCGUCGUGGAGGGUGAGAACCCCGUACCCGGCCGGUGGCCGUGACCGUGUGAACGUCCUUCGACGAGUCGAGUUGUUUGGGAAUGCAGCUCAAAGCGGGUGGUAAAUUCCAUCUAAAGCUAAAUAUUGGCCAGAGACCGAUAGCGCACAAGUAGAGUGAUCGAAAGAUGAAAAGCACUUUGGAAAGAGAGUUAAACAGUACGUGAAAUUGUUGAAAGGGAAGCGCUUGCAACCAGACUUGGCCGCGGAGGCUCCCCCUGCCUUCUGGCAGGGUCACUCCGCCGCGGACAGGCCAGCAUCGGUUCGGGCGGCCGGAGAAAGGCUUGGGGAACGUGGCUGUCCUUCGGGGCAGCGUUACAGCCCCUGGCACAAUACGGCCCGCCGGGACCGAGGACCGCGCAUUCGCUAGGAUGCUGGCGUAAUGGUUGUCAGCGGCCCGUCUUGAAACACGG